UACCAUAUGUAGAUUUUAAUUCAAAACUGCGAUUUGAAAGGUUCGCUAUACAAAUAAAACAGAAAACCUGACCCAAGGCCUAAGCAAUACUAAACCGCUGCUUCCGUAUAUUUUCGAUUGGAAUUGGAACUGAACCGCCGGUUUGAAUUGGCAAUAAGUAACCUGGAGUGGUGAGGAAUGGUUCAGACGAAUAGGGAGAUUGCAUUCUCGAUGAUGUUGGACUGCUGCAGAUGCCAUGCAGCUGUGGGGCUCUGAUUGAUUAUCCUUGGGCCCAUUUGCAUGUCAACUUCCUUCCCUAACGAAAUAGGUUAGGUAGUGAAAAAGGGCUCCAAGAGUGAUGGUGGGAUCACUUGGAAAUGAAUUCGAUCUUCUAUUACAAUUAUAGCUGCUUGAUCUCUAUGUCAUCGUGAAAUCAUCUAAAUGUAGUCAGCCUAUGGUGUACUGUCUUUUGGUGGUCUUUGAGAUAGGGGGUGCAUUGUUUCUUUAUGUAAAGGUAUCGGCGGACUUCUUUCUACUGGCCUUGGAGACAAGUAG